rnacentral:rRNA from 1 species
UACGUAGGUGACGAGCGUUAUCCGGAUUUAUUGGGCGUAAAGCGCACGCAGGCGGCAGAGAAAGUCUGACGUGAAAUCUCCCGGCUUAACUGGGAGCGGUCGUUGGAAACUACUUGGCUUGAGGCGAUGAGAGGGGUGUGGAAUUCCCGGUGUAGUGGUGGAAUGCGUAGAUAUCGGGGGGAACAUCAGUGGCGAAGGCGAGUCUCUGGGCUGAUACCGAGCUGAGGCGCGAAAGCCAGGGGAGCAAACGGG